rnacentral:rRNA from 1 species
GAGGUCCCGCCUGCCCAGUGACGUUCAACGGCCGCGGUAUCCUAACCGUGCAAAGGUAGCGUAAUCACUUGUCUUUUAAAUAAGGACUAGUAUGAAAGGCGCCACGAGGGCUAAGCUGUCUCCUUUUUCUAAUCAGUGAAUCUGAUCCCCCUGUGAAGAAGCAGGGAUAUUCGUAUAAGACGAGAAGACCCUAUGGAGCUUAAAACAAUUGUGAGUUUUUGGUUGGGGUGACCGCGGAGAAUAACUAAUCCUCCACAGUGAAAAAUAAGUUACAACUUUAUGUAUCAAUAAAUUGACACCCAUUGACCCAAUACACUUGAUCAACGAACCAAGUUACCCUAGGGAUAACAGCGCCAUCCACUUUAAGAGCUCCUAUCGACAAGUGGGCUUACGACCUCGAUGUUGGAUCGGGAUAUCCUAGUGGUGCAGCCGCUACAAGGGUU